GAUGAACGCUGGCGGCGUGCCUAAUACAUGCAAGUCGAGCGAACGGACGAGAAGCUUGCUUCUCUGAUGUUAGCGGCGGACGGGUGAGUAACACGUGGAUAACCUACCUAUAAGACUGGGAUAACUUCGGGAAACCGGAGCUAAUACCGGAUGAUAUUUUGAACCGCAUGGUUCAAAAGUGAAAGACGGUCUUGCUGUCACUUAUAGAUGGAUCCGCGCUGCAUUAGCUAGUUGGUAAGGUAACGGCUUACCAAGGAAACGAUGCAUAGCCGACCUGAGAGGGUGAUCGGCCACACUGGAACUGAGACACGGUCCAGACUCCUACGGGAGGCAGCAGUAGGGAAUCUUCCGCAAUGGGCGAAAGCCUGACGGAGCAACGCCGCGUGAGUGAUGAAGGUCUUCGGAUCGUAAAACUCUGUUAUUAGGGAAGAACAUAUGUGUAAGUAACUGUGCACAUCUUGACGGUACCUAAUCAGAAGGCCACGGCUAACUACGUG
rnacentral:rRNA from 1 species